rnacentral:tRNA from 1 species
ACCUUUUUAGUACAAAAAGUAUAUUUAACUUCCAAUUAAAAGGUUUAUAAUUUAAAAAAGGUA